CUAAAUUGAUUCUAUUUAAGUUAAUUAGCUUAUAUGUAAUUUUAUAUGUAAAUUUUUGUGUGGUAUAGAUUUGUCUAAAUGACAUUUUUAAUUCAUAAAUUGCAGUUUUUUGUUUUGUAUAUUUUUGAAAUAAAGAUACAGUUAAUAUAUUUAGAUUUGUUUAAGGUUGUGCCAGCAUACGCGGUUAUACAAUCAAUUCAUGUUAAUUUUUUUGGCUUGUAUUUACUU
rnacentral:rRNA from 1 species